rnacentral:snRNA from 1 species
GGAUGUGAGGGUGAUCUAGCUGCGACAUCUGUCACCCCAUUGAUUGCCAGGGUUGAUUCGGCUGAUCUGGCUGGCUAGGCAGGUGUCCCCUUCCUCACUCACUGCUCGAUAUGCAUCCCUCCCGAAGCUGCGCGCUCGGUCGAAGAGGACGACCAUCCCUGAUGUUCUUUGGUCAAGGGUACACUAGUAGUUGUGCUCCCCUGCUAGAACCCCAAAACAAGCUCUCAAAAAAUACCUAAAGGGGUAUGAUUCAGGGAAUAUAGAGUGCUUGCCUAGCAGGCACGAGGCCCUGAGUUCAGCCAC